GUCUACAGCCAUGCUACCCUGAACAAGCCCGAUCCCAUCUGAUAUCAGAAGCUAAGCAGGGUUGGGCCUGCUUAGUACUUAGAUGGGAGACCACCUAGGAAGACCAGGUACAGUAAGUG
rnacentral:rRNA from 1 species